rnacentral:piRNA from 1 species
UAGGCAUUCAAAUAUAUGAGCCUGUGGGA